rnacentral:rRNA from 1 species
AUUGAACGCUGGCGGCGCGCUUAACACAUGCAAGUCGAGCGAAGCGGCGGACGGGUGAGUAACACGUGAGUAACCUGCCUUCGACAUUGGGAUAGCCUCGGGAAACCGGGAUUAAUACCAAAUGGUCUAAGAUGGACUCGCGUCCCCUUAGCUAGUUGGUGGGGUAACGGCGCACCAAGGCGACGAUGGGUAUCAGGCCUGAGAGGGUGAGCGGCCACUUUGUAUCUGAGAAACUGUCCAGACUCUACGGGAGGCAGCAGUGGGGAAUAUUGCACAAUGGAGGGAACUCUGAGGCAGCGACGGCGCGUGAACGAAGAAGGCUUGCGAGUCGUAAAGGUCUUUUAUAUGGGAAGCGGUACCAUAAGAAAAAGCCCCGGCUAACUACGUGCCAGCAGCCGCGGUAAUUC